GCCUAAAAUAAAAUUUCAUUUGUUUGGCAUUGCCGCCCGACCCACUGAAAAACUUGCCGCCCCAAUAAUUUUAUUUGCGUUUCAGAAAUUUGUUUUUUUUUAUUUAAAAAAAAUCGAAAUUGUGCCGGAAUUUGAUCGUAUCCGCCGAGUUUGUUCCUGGCUUUACUUAUUUCAAAUCACAAUCUUAAAAGCGCUUGCCUUACACUGUAUUCAUGUGUAUUGGGAGCAAACUUUUAAAUGACAUGGGAUAGAAAAAGUCUGCCAAAAGUAAUGGAACGGGGACCCAAUUAUUUGCCCCAUUGGAACGCAUUGAAAAUCAUAGUAAAUACAUAGGGUCCUGUUCAAUAAAUAAUUUUGAUAGCCACCUUGGGACUUCUGGUUCAUGUUAGGCAUUCAUUUUGCAGUGUCUAAGCACAAUCUCAGUGCCUCAUGACCGGCAUUCCGUUGCAAAAUUUUGUUUUUAUUGACAACAGGGUCAGUCUGUCCACUUCCGG
rnacentral:lncRNA from 1 species